GACAGAGGUUGCAAACGUUGUUCGGAAUUACUGGGCAUAAAGCGCACGUAGGCGGUCCGUUAAGUCAUGUGUGAAAUCCCCCGGCUCAACCGGGGAAUUGCGCCUGAUACUGGCGGGCUAGAGGUCGAUAGGGGUGAGCGGAACUCCAGGUGGAGCGGUGAAAUGCGUAGAUAUCUGGAGGAACACCGGUGGCGAAGGCGACAUCCUGGACCGGUAUUGACGCUGAGGCGCGAAAGCCAGGGGAGCAAACGGG
rnacentral:rRNA from 1 species